rnacentral:lncRNA from 1 species
GAAGAAUUCUGCCGGGUUCUUAGCCGUCACGUGUGUAAAGUGUCUGGCGUUAAUACUGUUAAGGCGAUAGUGGCAUCCUCAUAGCGAGCGACACAGUACACCUUCCCCGUCACCACAGGCGCCACCCUGCACCUUGGUCGUCCAUGGUUGCCCAUGGGCCUCACAUGGGAAGAACAGACAUCUCCGGUUCAGCAAGUAGUUACUAUACAGAACUUCGCGGAGGUGUGUGAUCGGAGGAACUUGCCAGAUACCCCGGGAUUAGACCUAUUCUCAGGCACGCUCUCUACCGCGCUUUUUGCAGCGCGGCCGCUACCAUGCGGACGGCAGAGUGUGCGAGGAGUCCAAACGAUAGACGCGUCGCAUCAGAAAUCCCUACUCCCAUCAAGAGUUCUCGUUGCUCCACUGUUUUGGAAGUAUCUGGCUGUGCCUGCCACCUGGGAUGGGCACUCCAUGCCACGGACUGGGUUCCACACAGGGUGUCUUUUGCCAGGACUAUUGCCGCCUGCAAACGUCUGCCGCUGGGCUGGUCCACCGGACAGAGAUGCAGAUUUGAGUUGAGAGUGGCCACACGUUGAAAGUGGGAAUCAAGGAGUAUGUCUCAAUGAGAGAGCUUCGUCUGUUCCACAGCAGUUCGUCUUCUGCCUAAGCAUCCGACCGAGCGUCAAGACUGCCUGUCGAAGCAAGUUUAAAACGGCACUGGCACGGUCGAAUAGCUGUUCUUCAGCGCAGUUGUACUUCUUGGUGCCAACUGGAGUCCCGUGCAGCGUCAGAAAUAUCACGUGUUCAUGUGAAUGCUUGUCAAGAUAUCACCGGGUGAAACAGUUUAAUUGGCCCUUGAUCCUCGAUGUGUUCCGCGUGUGACGCUUCUGACAUACCCCGCAGCCAGCGGCUCGUCUAGUAGGCAACAGCUCCAGCGGAGAGGAAUCCUACAUUCGAACGGAAAUACUUCUGGAGGGUCGAAUAGCGCGUUAGCUGACCAGGGGAACUGGUGUCUGGACGCAAACAAGGAGCAACACAACACACCAUCUGACGCCGCCGCUGGGAUGGAUCUUUCCGUGUGUUCUGUCGCAUGCCCGAAAGAGACCAUGCGAGACUACCAAGUUACUGCGACGCUGGCAAGGCGAAGACUAGUUUUAAUUCUCUGGGUGUUACAUCAAAUACGCACCGAAGGCGGCCACACCCAUUUUGCCCAUUGCCGUCAACAACAGCCCUGGCACCGCUGGACUCGUUCACGUAACCGCGGUCGGCCCCCAGAGAGCAAUCAGCAUUUCACUAGUAAAAUGUCGUGAGUUAGCCACUUCCCCGUGUGGCUUCGUAUGGCAGCGGAGGACAACUCAGAGCUGGGCCCUUUGUAUCUGUGUGGAAACCUGUACCUCACUCGCAGUAACGGGAUAGAUGGCGUGCCCCUCGAGUUCUGUUUCCGUCACAGACGGUUAACCAGGCGCCAGAACCGGGAAUCACAAACAGAGCGGCAAACGAGACAGCGGUUGCCUCGUUCACCAUGACUAUAAAAUGCGCAGUGCCAGGCUACGAUAGCCUUGCGUCAUGCAGACUAUCAAAUAAUAAUUCCCUUUCGUAUCUUGCCUUCAUGCGGUACAUAAUGAGGCUCUCAGAUCCUUUUCAUGAAGGUUGAAGCAAAAGAUCUCGUUGUCAGGCGGGACUGGG